rnacentral:lncRNA from 1 species
CUUUCUCCAGCUGUUCAACGGCUGCUUCCCGUAGUUCUUCUGAAUUUCGAAUAGUUCUCAAGAUUCUCUGUUUUCGAUUAUCUAAUAAAUCACUUAAUGAAAGUAGAUUCUCUUUGCAUUUAGUUCAAAAUGUCUAUGAUCUCUUCCCGAACCAAACAUGAAUCUUUCAAUUCAUUUGGCUCUCACACUCAAUUCCUUAUAGGAAAUUUCCCUAUAUUAUCGAAUGAGCCUAUCCUCUUUUCUCUAUUUCUAAAAAUCUUGAAAAUGAUUACCAAUACAAGAUUAAAAUAUUUGGAGGACUCUUCUGACCAAACAAAUAAUUGUCAGCAAAGUUUGUUUUUUUUUUUAUUCAAAUCCAAAGAAUUCUGAUUAAUUUAUACGUAGGUCAUCAAUUCCGCAUUGUAUAAAAGGAGGCGUUAAACAAAACACCUGUUUUUCCUAUUUUUCAUCGUAAAGAGAAUUCAAGUCAUUUUAUCGACAUGAGUGUUCUAUAUCGAAAAAAUUACAAUUUCCGUAUUAACAUAGUGGUAGAAAGAAUACUACAUUGCGUCUAAACUUCAAACUGGUUAGCUUUAACCAUGGUAAUGCUCCAAAAUUAUUGGUUGAUAGAGAAUCAAAGUAGAUUUACCAAUGAAUCGCGAAAUGCUAUGGUUCUUAACUAUUUUUUAGUUUAUUUAGUAAGAAGUCAUUCGCCGGAUCAUGCACGUUUUUCUAGUUAUAACGAAAAAAGUGCAGUUGGUUGGAUCCAAUCUAUUCUUUGAAAUAAACAACUCGCACACACUCCCUUUCCAAAAAAAAUUAAUACACCUAGCACUACACUUAGAUUUAUUAGAUUUGUUGCUAAAAUAUCGGUAUCAAACCCGAAACUUCCGGCGGAUGGCCAGUAAAUGAAGCAAAGAAAAGAAUCGGUUAUAUUUUUCAUAUGAUCGCAUCUCCUCUUAUGGAUAGACUAAUUUUGUUUCUACGAUUCCCAGUUUUUUGAUUUUUUUAUUCGUUUUUUUAUAUUAAAUUCAAGUUUAUUGUAUAAUAUUUUUAUUUCUUACUAAUAAUAAUAAUUAAUUAACUAAUAAUUAAUUAAUAUGAAUUACUAAUAAGAAUCUGAAUAGAAUAAGAAUUUUAUUGUAUCUAUUAGAGAAUAUAGAAUAUAUUUAUUAAUAAAUAUAUUCUAUAUUUUGAAUUGGUUAGUCAAUUGAAAGAUUCCUCAUAAGAAUGAUACCUCUUAGAAGUAGAUACUAGUUCUUAUGUCAAUUGCAAAAUAUCUAGUUGUUUUCAAUUCUAAAUUAAAAAAGGGGGCGCUCGUUGGACUAAAUAAAGGGACGGAAGAAGGCGAAUCCAUAUGUUAAUCCAAAUGAAGAAUAAAUUGUAGGAGUUAAAUCGGAAUAUCUAUAUAGAAAGAAUAUAUAUAUAUAUAAAGCAAUAGCAGCAAUGAAAGUCCACGGAAAAAACAAUAUGUAUUUUUCUUUUUCUAUUUGUUUAAAAGAUUAAACAAAAGGAUUGGCAAAUAAAAGUGCUAAUGCUACAACCAGCCCAUAAAUAGUUAAAGCUUCCAUAAAAGCCAGACUAAGUAAUAAAGUACCCCUUAUUUUGUCCUCUGCUUCCGGUUGUCGCGCAAUCCCUUCUACAGCUUGCCCUGCAGCUGUACCUUGACCAACUCCAGGUCCAAUAGAAGCAAGCCCGACGGCCAACCCAGCAGCGAUAACAGAAGCAGCAGAAAUCAGUGGAUCCAUGAUAAGUUUCUCCUAUUCCAAAUAAAAUAAAGAAAAGAAAUAGUUAAUAAUAUAAUCAACCAAGAAAUUAUGACUUAAUUAUUUCAUUCUUCAUUUAUCUAGUCGAAGUUUAAUUCAUGAAUAAUUUUUAUUGAAUUAUCCAAAUAACUUCGAUAUUCAUUUUUUUUUUUUCGUUUCUAUCCAUGUAGUUUUUUGUGAAUACAUACAAUUUUUGUUCUUAUCUUAAAUUUUGAACCAUUCUUUUAAUUCUUCGUUCUUUCUUUUUCUUUAUUUCCAUUUUUGAGUUAUUCAAUACCUAAAUUUAGAGUAGUAGCAGGACGAAUUUAGAUAGUCAUAUAUAACUAAUGAAUAUCUACUAUGACAUAUACAUGUGUUUGUUCGAUACCGUAAACCAAUUAGUUAUACCUUAGAUUCAAUAGGAUUCGAGAAUCAUUCUUGGAAACCCCUAAAAAACUAAGAGUUGUCUUAUAACGAUUAGAUUCUAUAUACACUUAGUUCGACCCCCUCACCCUAUUUUUUGUCCUUUGUUUUAUUCAUUAUUAUCCCAUAUGGAUUAUCCCAUAUGGAUCGAAUUAAUCUAAAUCAAUUCGAAAGACCAAAUUAUUACUGUGGAAAUAUUCGAAUUUUAUUUUAGGAAAAUCAAAUAAACUUUUGUCAAUUAUUAAAUGUGAAUGAAUGAAACGGAAAUAUUUUGUAGUUCGAUAUAACAUCUUUUUUUUUGAAUCACAUGUCGUAAACAACGUAGAUAUCAUCCGAAAUUAUAGUUCCCAAUCUAAUAUUUCUAAUAUUAAUUAAAUAUAAUAUACUAAUAAUUAAUAUACUAAUCAUUAAAUAUAUUAAAUAUACUAAUCAAUUUUGACAUCUAAUAAGAAUUUUAAUUAAUUAAUUAAUAUACUAAUAACAAAGGUUGAAUAUGUUUAUAGUUCUAAUUGAAUGAACAAAAUAAUAAAUCAAAAUAAUAUUCAUUGGAGUAAAAUACAAAUUGAUCAAAAAAAGAUUAUUUUGAUAACUAAUCAAUGAUGGCCUUCCAUGGAUUCACCUAUAUAAGCCGCAGCUAAGGUAGCAAAAAUAAGAGCUUGAAUACCGCUUGUAAAUAAUCCCAGAAACAUAACUGGUAUAGGAACUACUAAAGGUACUAACGAAACAAGAACAACAACUACUAAUUCAUCAGCUAAUAUAUUUCCGAAAAGUCGAAAACUAAGCGAUAAGGGUUUUGUAAAAUCUUCUAAGAUGUUAAUCGGUAAAAGGAUUGGAGUUGGUUGGAUGUAUUUACCAAAAUAAGCCAAUCCUUUUUUUGAAAUACCCGCAUAGAAAUAGGCUACUGACGUAAGUAAAGCUAAUGCAACAGUAGUAUUUAUAUCAUUUGUGGGUGCAGCUAAUUCUCCAUGAGGUAACUUUAUAAUUUUCCAAGGCAAAAGAGCCCCUGACCAAUUCGAAACAAAAAUAAAUAGGAACAAAGUUCCAAUAAACGGAACCCACGGACCAUAUUCUUCUCCAAUCUGAGUUUUGCUCACGUCUCGGAUGAAUUCAAGGACAUAUUCAAAGAAAUUCUGACCGGACGUUGGAAUAGUUUGCGGAUUUCUAACAACUAGAAUGGUUGAAAUUAAUAAGAUAGCAAUUACAACCCAAGAGGUAAUAAGUACUUGAGCAUGCACUUGAAAAUCCCCUAUUUGCCAAUAGAAAUGUUGACCUACUUCGACAGCAGAUAUAUCAUAGAUUAAUGUGUUGAUGUAACAUAAUAGAACAUUCAUAUUGCCCUGCCCUCUAAAAAAAAUAUAUAUAUAUAACUUGAAAGGGAAUUAUUUUGAUUCAACCAUUUCCUUAUUUGACUUUCAUUUCCUUUUCUAUUUUAUUUUGAAUACCUACUAAUCACAAAAUAUUUAUUUUUGCACAAUUUUGUAAUGCUAUAAUAACCGAUUCCAUAAAUCUACGACCGCCCAACCAAAUCUAACAAUUUCUUUAUCUUAUUAUUAAUCAAAAAUUUCGUAUAUAGCUAGAACGACCCUCACAAAUUGCAAAAACUAAUUUGUUAAGAAUUAAUCGGAUUGAAGCUAUAGCAUCAUCAUUAGCUGGAAUCGAAAUAUCUGCUAGAUCUGGGUCACAAUUUGUAUCGAUUAAACAAAUCGUUGGAAUUCCCAAAGUGAUACAUUCUUGAAGAGCCGUAUAUUCUUCUUGCUGAUCAAGGAUUAUUACUAUAUCGGGUAACCCUGUCAUAUAUUUUAUGCCACCCAGAUAUGUUUCCAAAUGAGAUAAUUGUCUCUUGAACAUAGCGGCAUCUCUUUUUGGAAGAGAGUUCAGUUUCCCUGUCUUUUGCUCCGUUCUCAAGUCCCUGAACUUACGAAGUCUCGUUUCUGUAGUAUACCAAUUCGUUAACAUACCUCCGAGCCAUUUUUUAUUAACAUAAUGACAUCGAGCUCUUAUUGCAGCCCGUCUUACUGAAUAGGCUGCUUUUUUUUUUGUACCAACAAUUAAGAAUUGUUUUCCUAUGCUUGCUGCAUCAAAAACCAAAUCACAAACUUCUGAUAAAAAACGAGCAGUUCGAGUAAGAUUUGUAAUAUGAAUACCUUUACGCUUUGCCGAUAUAAAAGGUGCCAUUCGAGGAUUCCAUUUCCGAGUAUCAUGGCCAAAAUGAACUCCAGCUUCCAUCAUCUCUUCAAAAGUUAUGUUCCAAUAUCUUUUUGUCAUUUAUCCCCACACGUUUUUUUUUAAGUGAAAAAAACGAGACCAGGUAUCCUGAAAUAGCAAUAAAUAAUUGUUCCGAUGGAACCUUCUCUUUUCUAGACGAUUGGCCGUUAAUAUAUAAUCAGGUCAUUCAUUUUUUUCUAUUUAUUAUACUUUAUUACCAAAAUUACCCAAUCAAAUGACUGCAUUUAAAGGGAUGAAUUGAAUGCUUCCUAAAAGCGCAUUCAAUCCUAUAGUUCUAAUGUAUCAGAGAAAAUUAUUUGAAAUGAAAAGAAUCAAAUAAAUUUCUGUGAUGGAACAAAAGAUUUCGAAUUUCUACUUCGAAUAAUUUUUUUUUUUUUCAAGGUAAUUUUGUUAUAUUGCCUUGACCGUGAACGGUGCAUUAUUCUUUUGAAUCCGGUACCAACGGGUAUCAUUCCCCCUAAAACAACAUUCUCUUUAAGACCUUUCAACCAAUCAAUACGACCCCGAAGAGCGGCUUUUGCUAAAACUCUAGCAGUUUCUUGAAAACUCGCUUCGGAUAUGAAACUUUGAGUAUUCAGAGAUGUUUUUGUUAUUCCCAAUAAUAAAGCUCGGUAACAAAUUGCUUCUUCCAAGGCACGCCCAGUUCGUUCUGCUCGCAAUAAUCCAAUUAAUUCACCGGGUAAAAAUACAUUAGACAUUCCAUCUUCUGAAACCAAGACUUUGGAUGUUAUUUGACGCACAAUAAUUUCGAUAUGUCUAUUAUGGAUGUGUACUCCCUGGGAUCGAUAAACCUUUUGGAUUUUAUUAACCAAAGAAAUACGACUUUGCGCUAUAGUUAGCUCAGCACCAAUCAAGAAUCCCCAAGGAAUGCCGAGAAUUCUUGUUAUACACUCAUUCCAAGCAUCAAUUCUUUUUUCGAGAUUCAUCGAUAUUGAAUCAAUCGAACGUAUUUCUAAUAUCUGUUCCACUUUUGGAAGACCUUGUGUUAUAUCACUGGAUCUCGAUUUUUCAUAUAUGAAUGUAACUAAAAUAUCUCCUUGAUAAAGGAUUUCUCCAUAAUGGCCAUGAAUGGUUGCUUCUGGAGUCGCCAAAUAUGGGUUAGCCGAUCUUAUUAUUACAGAAUCCAUUUGAACAGUUAUAACUUGACCCGAUUUUAGUUUUAGAUGUGGUCCAUUUUUCAUUUUAGCUAUACAUAUAUUUUCACAAAUAAAUUGUCCAAGACUAAUUAUUGUAAACGUUUUUUCACAAUAAUAAUGAUGGAGAAAAUACCAAUUCAAAUGGAAUGGAUUCAAAACGAUAUUACUGUCUAGAUCGGGUUUAAAAAUUUUAUCAUUUUCGUCCAUUAAAUAAUAUUUAAUUACUUGAAAAAUUUCCGUUAUUUUGUCAAGUUGGAAAUUUUUCAUUAUUGAUAUUUGAUUAUGAGUUAUUAAAUGGUAAAGUGAAUAAAAAUUUCCAACUUGACGGGCUAUUCCUAAAGGACCUAAUGAAUUAUUAUUAUUAAUUGGAAUUUUAGGAUUUUUUUUUAUCCCAUUGUGAUAUUUAACAUUGUUGAAUGGUCUUAUUUGAAAACAAUUAGAUGAUGACAAAAUUAUCCAAGAUCGGCAUUCCUUAUUUCUAUUCAACAACAUACGAAUAGUUCCGUGAUUUUGGCUAAGUGAUUUUUUAAUUUUUGCCUUGUAAUGAAUGGAAAAAAAUGGAUUGAUAUUGAUCCGAUCCGAUUCAUUAUCCGCGAUCAAUCCUAAACCAGAUGGGUCAUUUCUUUUUCUGAUAUAUGCAGUAUUCGAUUUUACUAAGUCAAUUCUUAGAAAAUACUCAAUCAAACCGUUUGUACUUACUUCAACAAAGGAAGAGGGGGCCUCCUCAAUAGAAGGACUUUUUUUGCCUUGAUCCCAAUUCAAGACUAAACAAGUCCGAACUAAUUGAAUCCUUGUGUCGGAAAUUCCCCGAAUGGAUUUUCCAUUUCCAUAAAGAAUAUAAUUGACAACUUUGAGUUCCAGAUUAUCCCUUUCCUGGAAUAGAUCUUGGGGAAAAAGUUUUAUAAAAUCGAUACUGUCCGGUAUUUCAUAUAAAAUUACAGGUCGAACCAAAACAAAAUACUUUUUCUUGGUAGUUGCGAUCCAUUGGACAUAGAUCCAAUUAUUAAUUUUUUUUGAUUCCUUCCGUUUUUUUUUUACCGUUCCGGGUGGUAUCAAGAUAGAACUGUGUCGGGAUAUCUUAUCCCUCUCUCCGGGAAAAUGGAUAUUUCCAGAAAAUAAUUUUAAUUCGAUUUUUUUUUUUUUCUUUUCUAAUCGGACCAAUCCGCCUACUCGACUUCUUAUAUUGAAAGUGAUUGGUGUUCCUAUUCCAACGAGACUAUUAUUCCGUACCAUUAUGGAAGAAGAUUCGGGUAAAAUAUGCACUUCUUCGGGAAUAAAAAAAAAUCGAUCUACUUUGAUUUGGUAUUUUGGCUUUAAUUCUUUGAUUCCUCGAUACUCAAUGAAAUCUUCUUUUUGAAAAACGGAAUGAAUUCCUACAGUUCUAUAUUUAGUAAUUCCUGAAUUCUGUCUUCUGUAUUGAGGAUCAUCGAAAUAAGCAAAAAUACUAUUUCUAUGAAAAAUACCAUUGAUAGGUAUUUCAAUGGAAACACCAAAAGGGCGCAUUAGUUCGUUCUUUCGUUCUUGAAUCGAUUGGAAUGGAAUAAGAAAUCGAUUUCUUCGUCUUUUGGCCAAUAAAUAAAAAGUAUCGUGAAAAAUAGCAGGAUACAUUAAAUGAGAAUGAUCCGUACAUAUCAUUUGAUUCAAUAUUGAAUAAUUGCUAAUCCCCUUUUCUUUUGUACCAAAGGUCUUCAAACUUAAUAAUUUGAGUUUUACUUCAUCAUUACUUACUAAAAGAUUAGAAAUAUUUCUUUUUCCAGUAGAAAGAGAAUCAAUGUUAAUUUGAUCUUGAUCCUUGCGAAGUAAAAAAUGGAUUGUAUCAGACCUGCACGACUUUCCUGAUAAGAUCCAUAAAUGACUUGUUUUUGGUAAGAUAUGUACAUUACUAUACAAAAAUUCGGAUGCAUGGUACACAUCGGUACUCCAAUGCAUUUCCCCUUCUGAGUCAGAAUAAAUAUGUUUUCGAACCCUUUCUUUCAAAUUAAAAGUAGAUG